rnacentral:misc_RNA from 1 species
UUCACAAUGUAAGUCAUUCUAGUAUUUUCCACAUUCAUAUUGAUGUUAAUGAAUCUAGACAUAUAUAUCUAUCUAGAUUCAUUAACAUCAACGUGAAUAUGAGAAAUAUUAGAAUGACUUACAUUGUUAA